UGUACAAUGUACAUAUGCCGCGUAUCAAUUAUGUGGAAAUAUAUUUACAAAGAUAUGUACAUGUAUGCAUGUGUUUGUAAGUGUGUUUGUGUGAGUGUGCAUAUGUAAGGCAAUUUCGAUGCCCUGGCACUGAAUGUCACUAAACGCGCCAACCAACAACUCGCAUUGCGUGCGAAAUACCCCGCAUCCGCCUCUGCCAACGUCUCUGCUGCCGUCACCAUGUACCUAUGUACGUAUGCUACUUACACCCUGUGCGAGUGAGUGAGUGUGAAGGAGUGCGACUGUUAAGUCUAUGCUCUUUUUUGUGCGUGCGUGUUAGUGUGUAGAUCAGCUUCGCAGUCGCUGUCGCUGUCGCAGUAGAAAAACCGCACGUCAUACAAACAAACAAACAAACAAUUCAGAUUCAUUCAUUGCGCGUCGGUUCGGUUCCAUUGUGAACGAUAACGAUUGUUGAUUGCCGCCACUGGUGAUUAUCGUCCGUUUUGUUACGCACUCAUCUCAUCUAGAAAAGGAUAGCGAUAGAGAGAGAGAGAGAGAGAAGAAGCUGCAGUGAGAGUGAAACGCUUGUGAAAGCAAGAUUGGAUAAUGAAUGAAAAUACCAAAAGCAAAUGUACAAAUACGUGUGUUGCAGCAACAACAACAACAAUUGCAAUUGAAAGAAUAUAUGUAUAUGUAGAAAGUGUCCAAGUUCGUGUUUGUUAGUGUCUUUUUGGUGCCAUUAAUUUAUUGGCCACGCCCACCUAUGCCGCCUAGGCCGCAUCAACGCAACGCACACAAAGACCUAACAAAAAUCCACACAAAAUGGCGAUAAGUUUAAGCGCCAGAGAAACGCCCAAGCGUGAAGUUUAAAAAAAAAAGUCAAAGCCAAAAGUAUAAAAAAAGUAACCAAAAGUUGUCGAAAUUUAUGCAACGAAAUUCAGCAGCGAAAGGGAGAAAAAUAGCGGCCGAUAGGCGAUAAGCGCCAAACAAAACGAAACUCGGAUCAAACUCGAUACAAGCGCCUAAGAUGUGUUCCCGCAACAUAAAGAUCUCGGUGGUGCUGUUUCUUGUCUUGAUACCCAUAUUCACAGCGUUGCCACACAAUCACAAUCUGUCGAAGCGCAGCAAUUUCUUUGAUCUGGAAUGCAAGGGCAUCUUCAAUAAGACCAUGUUCUUCCGCCUGGAUCGCAUCUGUGAGGAUUGCUAUCAAUUGUUCCGUGAGACGAGUAUACAUCGACUAUGCAAGAAAGACUGCUUUGAUUCCAAAUGGUUUGGCGAAUGCGUUAAAGUGCUAUUAACACCAUCAGAAGAAAUAACAAAUUUACAACAUUUUAUAAAAGUAGUGAAUGGUUCGCCCAUAUCAUUCAACAUGGCGCCGGUUACAUAACUUUAAGUGGUUCGGUUAAAGCCACCAACGAGCAACUACAACAACAACCACCACCACCACCAGAAACACCACCCACACCAUCCACAUCCGCAGUUACACACACACACACACACACAGAGAGACAGACACAUAAAAUACAAUACAAUAAUGGAAGAUGAACAAAAUUAAAGCAAAUUCCAGUUCCACAUGGAAUCCACAUCCGAAGAAUCUGAUCAAAAGCAAAAACAAAUUAAAUAUUUAACGCCCAAAUUUAAUUCGUACUUAUUUAUUACUGUAUGCCUUACAGUUUUUACUAUAUAUGUGUUUUUUAAAAAACCGAAUUAUUUUAAUUAAUUUAUUGAAACGUUACGCGUUUGUUGUAAGUGAGGGACAGGGACAGGGGCACGGGAAAUGGGAACAAUGGGGGGAAAUAUACGGGAACAGUGAGAGUAAGCAAACUCCCACACACACGCACACAUACACACACGAACAGAGAGAGAGAGAGAGAGAGAGAGAGAGAGAGAGGAAGCGAAAGGGAGAGCGAUUAGGGGGAAAUCAGGGGAGGGGGACAGUGCGAAAUCGGGGGUUUCUUUCCCAGUAAUUUGAGAGCAGACCCCGAAGCCGAAGAAGUAUUUAUUUCUAAGUAUUCUUAGCUUGUUUAUUAUUGAGUUAUGUAUGUAAAAUAAAAGAUCCAUUGUUUUAAAUAUACUUAUUUAAUGUAUAAUUAUUAUUUUUUGUAUUGUAUUUAAACAAAAACAAAAAAAGUAUCGCGUAUUCCAAGCAGCAUUUACAUUUUUACAUCAAGGGCAGGACAGAAGAAAAAUACAAACAAAAAUACUAAAAGAAAAUUAAAUACACUUACGCAGACAGACUCAUACACACACACACACAGACAUAUAACAGAAUCGCAUCCACAAGAACGAAAGUAUUUUGCAAAUGUAUUAAAAAUUUUGUGCUAUUUAGUAAAGAUUACCGUAAUUAGCGUAAAAUUUGUUUUCAAAAAAUAAGAAAAAAAAGAAUAUAUAUUCACGAUUACAUACAAAAAUAUUUUAGUCUAAAAUGCAAUUUGUGCAAAACACAAACAAAACAAAAAACCUUUGGUAAAAACACACAAAAUCUAACAAAAAAAUAAAUGCAUUACAAAUGCAGCAAAAAAAUAAAAGAUGAAGGAACUAAAAUGUUAUUAUAAAAAAAAAUAUUUAUGAAAAAUAAUGAACAAAAGAUCAAUCGCUGGCUAUUUGAGGGCAUCCAAAAUUGUGAUAAAUGAAAUAAGAAUGCGACGCUGACCAGGAAGAGUGUCAGCGUGCGAGAGAGAGAGAGAGAGUGAGCAACAAGUGCGGCAGCUGUUAUCGAUGUUUGGCGCGUUUCCGACGCGACUAAAAACGCGCACUUACCGUUUUUAUUUUGUGGCAAGACUGCUUCGGAUCGCCGUUUUUCAAUGCCUGCGUUGAGGCGCUGCAACUGCACGAGGAGAUGGACAAGUACAACGAAUGGCGCGAUACCCUAGGACGCAAGUAAAUGGAGUAACACCGAAGCGGACAAGCACAACAGUUGGCGGAAAAAGCUAUAGCUAAACAAACGCAUAAUACGAGUACUACUUACAUUACUCUUAUACUACCACUUAUACAAUAUAACAUUCUUAUACGAUGUGAUUGUGAACACUUACACACUCAUACGUCUACACCCAUACACACACAUACAAGGCACACGAACGAAGAGAAAAUACACGAGUAAAAAUUAUCACAGCGAAUACGCAAAAUACUUUUAUGGAUUUAGUGAAAGAACAAAAAAAA